AGGAUGUCCUGAGUAAGUAAAAGCCGAAAAAACACCAGGGGGUGAUGGGCUCCCUUUUGAAAUAUAUAAAACCUUCUCCCAGGUUUUAGUACCAGAGUUAAAAACAACAUUGGAUGAGGCUCGAAAACUAGGUGAUUUACCGAACUCCAUGAAGGAGGCAAUUAUUACAUUAAUUCCAAAAAAGGGAAAAGAACAAUUAGAUCCCGGGUCAUAUAGGCCAAUAUCCCUUCUGAAUACGGGCGUCAAAAUUUUGGCAAAGGUCUUGGCUGAUAGGCUGUCAAAGGUUAUUAAAGUAGUAAUAAAUAAAGAUCAGACAGGUUUUAUACCGGGUAGAACAAUAUACCCAAAUAUAAGAAGGUUGUUCCUUAACAUCGAAGCCAAUAGAUUAGAUGCAGGGGAGAAAGCGAUACUUUCACUGGACGCCCAAAAGGCAUUUGACUGUAUUGAAUGGGAGUACCUUUGGGCAGUAUUAAAAAGGGUUGGUAUAGGGGAGGGAUUUAUAAGGUGGAUUCAGUUAAUAUAUCUUAACCCAAGGGCUAGAGUGGUCGUGGAUGGGAGCUUGUCCCUGCCGUUUGCCCUAUAUCGCGGCACUAGGCAGGGAUGCCCUCUCUCCCCACUGUUAUUUGCUAUCGCAAUUGAGCCUCUGGCAAGCAUAACAAGAAAUGAUAGGGAGAUUAAAGGGUUUCAAUAUGUGGGUGGAGAAGAAAAACUGUUAAUGUAUGCGGACGAUAUCUUACUUUUUUUGCACAAUACUGGGGAUCAGUUUAAUAGAGUGACAGAAAUAAUAGAUAAUUUUUUUUUUUUCUGGUCUAAAUAUUAAUUGGGGGAAAUCACAUAUGUUACUAUUAGGAGAUAGACAAUUACAGGGAGACUCACGGGUGCACGUCCUCGAAAAACACGAGAAUUUUAAAUAUCUUGGUAUACAAAUUUCCGGUCACAUAGAAGAAUAUGAAAAAUUAAAUGUCCUCCCCUUAAUAAAAGAACUUAGAACCAAAAUACAUAUAUGGAAAAGAUUACCAAUGUCAAUACAAGGUCGGGUAAAUUUAAUAAAAAUGGUCUUUCUCCCAAAAAUACUUUAUGUUUUGCAAAAUGCUCCAGUGAGAAUAUCGCAGAACAUUUUUAAGCUACUCGAUAGCCUAAUGGGGGAUUUUAUCUGGAAGGGAGCUAUCCCUCGAAUAAAGAAAGAAGUUCUUCAGCUUCCAGUGCGGGAGGGAGGAUUAGCGGUUCCCAAUUUGUUUUUUUACUAUCUAAUAACACAAUAUGGGAACAUAAAGGGUAGUUUAAAUAGUUUGGUGGGUAGUCAAGAAAUAAAUAGAUGGGGAUGGAAAGAGGAGUGGAACUACUUAGAGGUGUUGGAAUCAGUUUUUUUGGGGAAAAAAAAUAUUGGUAAUAGAACAUUAAACUUAGUAGAAUAUGUAUGGGGGGAAAUUAAAAAAAUAUUACAGAUUAAAGGGUUUUUGCAUUACACACCGAUUUGGAAAAAUCUUAAUUUAAAGGAACUGGAAACGAUCAGGACUUAUAUAGACUGGG